GCUCCGGUGGCCCAGUGGUUACAGCGUCCGCCUCGUAUGCGGGAGAUCGUGGGUUCGAUCCCCAUUCGAGUCA